rnacentral:rRNA from 1 species
GUGAAAUUCGUGGACCGCAGCGAGACGCCCUAAAGCGAAGGCAUUUGCCAAGAGUGUUUUCAUUAAUCAAGAACGAAAGUCAGAGGUUCGAAGGCGAUUAGAUACCGCCCUAGUUCUGACCGUAAACGAUGCCAACUAUCAAUCCGCCAGUGGCUUUUAGUUAUUGGCGGGCGGAUCGACGGAAACGAAAGUUUUUCGGUUCCGGGGGAAGUAUGGUUGCAAAGCUGAAACUUAAAGGAAUUGACGGAAGGGCACCACCAGGAGUGGAGCUUGCGGCUUAAUUUGACUCAACACGGGAAAUCUCACCCGGCCAGUACAUCAUAAGGAUUGACAGAUUGAAAGCUCUUUCAUGAUUUGAUGAAUGGUGGUGCAUGGCCGUUCUUAGUUCGUGGUGUGAACUGUCUGCUUAAUUGCGAUAACGAGCGAGACUCCGACUGUUAAAUAGGAAGAGGUUUACUUGACCUCAUUUCUUCUUAACGGGAUUCGCAACUUCAAGUUGCAAGAAAUGGAGCAAUAACAGGUCUGUGAUGCCCUUAGAUGUCCGGGGCGGCACGCGUGCUACAAUGGUGGUAACAGCGUGAUUGUCCUCGCCUGAGAAGGCUUGGCAAACAGUUGAGAUAUUAUUAUGGCUGGAAUUGAGUGUUGAAAUUUUCUCUCAUGAACGAGGAAUUCCAAGUAAAUGCGAGUCAUCAACUCGCAUUGAUUACGUCCCUGCCCUUUAUACACACCGCCCGKMGGUACCCAGGACUGARUUMUUUCSAAAAAUCUACGGACCGCU